UACAGAGGUCUCAAGCGUUGUUCGGAUUCAUUGGGCGUAAAGGGUGCGUAGGCGGCGCGGUAAGUCGGGUGUGAAAUUUCGAGGCUUAACUUCGAAACUGCAUUCGAUACUGCCGCGCUUGAGGACUGGAGAGGAGACUGGAAUUUACGGUGUAGCGGUGAAAUGCGUAGAUAUCGUAAGGAAGACCAGUGGCGAAGGCGGGUCUCUGGACAGUUCCUGACGCUGAGGCACGAAGGCCAGGGGAGCAAACGGG
rnacentral:rRNA from 1 species